AAUUUUAAUGUAAGCUUAAAUGUUAAUCUGCAGAGGUACAGCUCUGCAGAACAAGAUUACAACCUUAAUUAGCGAGUAAAUUUAUUUAAUUACCAUAGUUGGCCUAAAAGCAGCCAUCAAUUAAGAAAGCGUUCAAGCUCAACAGUAAAAUUUAUAUUUAAUCCAAAAAAUUAAUUACAUAAACUCCUAAUAUGACUACUGGAUUAUUCUACCUAUCUGUAGAAGAAAUACUGUUAAAAUGAGUAACAAGAUUUUUAUCUCCAUACACACGUGUAUAUCAGCCCGAAUCCUAACUGAUAGUUAACAAUUAGAUAAAUCUAUUCAUCAAAUUAAUAAUUUAUCACAACAUUGUUAAUCCAACACCGGAGUGAAUAUAAGGAAAGAUUAAAAAAAGUAAAAGGAACUCGGCAAACAUAAACCCCGCCUGUUUACCAAAAACAUCACCUCUAGCAUUAUUAGUAUUAGAGGCACUGCCUGCCCAGUGACAUUAGUUUAACGGCCGCGGUAUCCUGACCGUGCAAAGGUAGCAUAAUCAUUUGUUCCUUAAUUAGGGACUUGUAUGAAUGGCCACACGAGGGUUUAACUGUCUCUUACUUUUAAUCAGUGAAAUUGACCCUCCCGUGAAGAGGCGGGAAUAAAAAAAUAAGACGAGAAGACCCUAUGGAGCUUAAAUUUAAGUGUUCAACAAAAUUCAAACUUAAUCCAACAGGAAUAAUCUUAUUUUAACUGAACAACAAAUUUUGGUUGGGGUGACCUCGGAGUAUAAUAAAACCUCCGAGUAAUUUUAACUAAGACUUACCUGUCAAAGUGAUAUAACUUAUUGAUCCAAUCAAAUUGAUCAACGAAACAAGUUACCCUAGGGAUAACAGCGCAAUCCUAUUUGAGAGUUCAUAUCGACAAUAGGGUUUACGACCUCGAUGUUGGAUCAGGACACCCAAAUGGUGCAGCAGCUAUUAAAGGUUCGUUU
rnacentral:rRNA from 1 species